UUGCCCUUAAGUGGGGGAUAACCCGGGGAAACCCGGAUUAAUACCGCAUGAUCUCGAAAGAGCAAAGUGGGGGAUCGCAAGACCUCACGCUUUUGGAGAAGCCUACGUCGGAUUAGCUAGUUGGUGAGGUAAUGGCUCACCAAGGCUACGAUCCGUAACUGGUCUGAGAGGAUGAUCAGUCACACCGGAACUGAGACACGGUCCGGACUCCUACGGGAGGCAGCAGUGGGGAAUAUUGGACAAUGGGCGCAAGCCUGAUCCAGCAAUGCCGCGUGUGUGAAGAAGGCCUUCGGGUUGUAAAGCACUUUAAGUUGGGAAGAAAAAAUUUCACCUAAUACGUGAAAUCUUGACGGUACCGACAGAAUAAGCACCGGCUAACUCUGUGCCAGCAGCCGCGGUAAUACAGAGGGUGCAAGCGUUAAUCGGAUUUACUGGGCGUAAAGCGUGCGUAGGCGGUUUGUUAAGUCGAUUGUGAAAGCCCUGGGCUCAACCUGGGAAUUGCAGUCGAUACUGAUGGACUAGAGAACGGUAGAGGGAGGCGGAACUCCAGGUGUAGCGGUGAAAUGCGUAGAUAUCUGGAAGAACACCGAUGGCGAAGGCAACCUCCUGGGCCUGUUCUGACGCUGAGGCACGAAAGCGUGGGUAGCAAACAGGAUUAGAUACCCUGGUAGUCCACGCUGUAAACGAUGAGAACUUGACGUCGGGUCGCUUAGCGAUUCGGUGUCGAAGCUAACGCGCUAAGUUCUCCGCCUGGGGAGUACGGCCGCAAGGUUGAAACUCAAAGGAAUUGACGGGGGCCCGCACAAGCGGUGGAAUUAUGUGG
rnacentral:rRNA from 1 species